UCAAAAUGGUAUCUUAUUUUAAUGUCGGGUGUUUAGUAAUUAUGAUUAUUUUAUUGUACAUUGCUGUAAUGAUCAGAUUAAGUUUGUGCCCUGUGAUUCGAUUUUCUCGAAGAAACGUCACAAUUGAUCUUGUUCCUAAACUUAAACGACGACAUUCACCUAACACUGCUGUAACUCUUGUAUAAGUUUUGCACACUUCGAAAUAUGUUUCAUAUUGUUAAGAAUAAACCACAUGUUAUUAUCAUCUGAAUAAUUUUUAUUCAAUAAAUUACUUAAGAACUGUUUUUGAAGAAUUUCAGAACACAUUUACACAGGGAUCCAUAGAGAAGGCGAAUAAGAAGCUAGGAAGCAGGGCAAAAGGAGACUGGGAUCAAAUCUGAGGAGAUACUUUUCACAGUUGGAAUUGGUAACAGAUGCAAUGAUAUAAUCCUUAGCGAACGCCUUAGUAAUACUCUACUAUCCUCCAAGCGGAAAUUGAUGCUAUAGGAUGUACCUGCAGGAAUUAAUUAAAAGAAACUGAAAGGACAGAUUAAUUAUUUAUAUGGGAAAUAAGCCACAAUUAAAAUAAAAAAAAUAAUUUUAUUAACGUUUCGAUUAUUAUUUUCAGUAAUAUUUUGUAUUUUGACAACGGCACCCGAUUUGGGCGUCGAAACGUUAAUAAAAUUAUUUUUUCAUUUUAAUUGUGGCUUAUUUCCCAUAUAAAUAAUUAAUCAUAAAAAUGCCACAAGGAAAUAGCUUCAGAACAACAUGAAGGGACAGAUCUGUAAAAAAUAUAUCUGGUAGUAAGACUGCAUUAUUUUUAGUUCGAAUUCGAAUCUGAUUGACUCCAAAUUAGUUUGGAACUGUUUUAAGAAUCUGAUUCGUAUCGGAAAAAGUAAGAAAGUAAAUUUAUUCUGGGUGACUGGAUAUACUGGUAUUAAAGGAAACGAAGAAGCGGACCUAAGUUCCAGGGAAGGGGCAAAAGAAACAUUCAUAGACCCAGAACCUAUCGUUGACAUAGCAGAAAAAGAAUCAAAUAUGUAUGUUCGUCACGCCAGGAGCCUUUGUGCAUUCAUUCUUGUUCUAUGAGAUUUCAUGGAAAGUAAAUUAUUUUUCUGAAUGGUUUUUUCAAUAAAAUAAUUAUAUGCAA
rnacentral:lncRNA from 1 species